CGGCCAGACUCCUACGGGAGGCAGCAGUGGGGGAUAUUGCACAAUGGGGGGAACCCUGAUGCAGCGACGCCGCGUGGGUGAAGGAGUGCUUCGGCAUGUAAAGCCCUAUCGGCAGGGAAGAAGCAAGACGGUACCUGACUAAGAAGCCCCGGCUAACUACGUGCCAGCAGCCGCGGUAAUACGUAGGGGGCGAGCGUUAUCCGGAUUCACUGGGUGUAAAGGGAGCGUAGGCGGCCAUGCAAGCCAGGGGUGAAAUCCCGGGGCCCAACCCCGGGACUGCCCUUGGAACUGCAUGGCUGGAGUGCGGGAGGGGCAGGCGGAAUUCCUGGUGUAGCGGUGAAAUGCGUAGAUAUCAGGAGGAACACCGGCGGCGAAGGCGGCCUGCUGGACCGCGACUGACGUUGAGGCUCGAAAGCGUGGGGAGCAAACAGGAUUAGAUACCCUUGUAU
rnacentral:rRNA from 1 species